UACCAUUUUUAGCUACGCAGAUUGUCAAGAAUUGAGAUAUAUGGUGAUUGGGAUUAGAGUCCGACCAACCACUAAAAGUAGAUAAUAGUGCCAUACUUGUAGUUCGGUCUCGUACUGCUUCCAUUUGUACUGUAAUUGGUACUUCUGGCACUCCCAUGGCCAUUGGUGUUAUAAUUGAUCUCUUUACUAUUUGAAUCUAAAUUUUUCUUCCUUUGGUUUUU
rnacentral:lncRNA from 1 species